AUGGUGCUGACCCGGCGGUUCAUCUUCCUCUUCCCCGCCGCCGUCCUGGCCGAACUCACCUCCGCCUCCGCGUCGCCCUUCCUGUCUGACAGCUUAUUCCAGGCCAGCACCGGAUCGACGGGGAGGAGCUUGCUGCAGACCAAGAAUGACUGCCCUAUGAGCUUCGAGACCCAGAACUACACGGUCCUCACAAACAAGUGCAAAGGGCCACAAUACCCUCCUACCGAAUGUUGUGAUGCUUUCAAGGAAUUUGCAUGCCCAUUUGCCGCGUAUAUCAACAACCAGAGCACUAACUGUGCAGACACAAUGUUCAGCUACAUCAGCUUCCAUGGCUACCCAGCAGGCCUAUUCGGCGACGAGUGCCUAAAAGGAAAAGAAGGGGUUUCUUGUGAAGGCAUCCCAGCGGUAGACACCGGCGUGCCCAGUGGCGGGCGACAAGUUCAAGGGGUUUCGCGUCCUUUGUUUGUGUUCCUGUGUGGACUAGGAGCAAUGUUGUUAUCUUGA
rnacentral:rRNA from 1 species